GAUGAACGCUGGCGGCGUGCCUAAUACAUGCAAGUCGAGCGAACGGACGAGAAGCUUGCUUCUCUGAUGUUAGCGGCGGACGGGUGAGUAACACGUGAUAACCUACCUAUAAGACUGGGAUAACUUCGGGAAACCGGAGCUAAUACCGGAUAAUAUUUUGAACCGCAUGGUUCAAAAGUGAAAGACGGUCUUGCUGUCACUUAUAGAUGGAUCCGCGCUGCAUUAGCUAGUUGGUAAGGUAACGGCUUACCAAGGCAACGAUGCAUAGCCGACCUGAGAGGGUGAUCGGCCACACUGGAACUGAGACACGGUCCAGACUCCUACGGGAGGCAGCAGUAGGGAAUCUUCCGCAAUGGGCGAAAGCCUGACGGGGCAACGCCGCGUGAGUGAUGAAGGUCUUCGGAUCGUAAAACUCUGUUAUUAGGGAAGAACAUAUGUGUAAGUAACUGUGCACAUCUUGACGGUACCUAAUCAGAAAGCCACGGCUAACUACGUG
rnacentral:rRNA from 1 species